rnacentral:rRNA from 1 species
UGCAGUCGAGCGCACCUUCGGGUGAGCGGCGGACGGGUUAGUAACGCGUGGGAACAUACCCUUCUCUAAGGAAUAGCCACUGGAAACGGUGAGUAAUACCUUAUACGCCCUUCGGGGGAAAGAUUUAUCGGAGAUGGAUUGGCCCGCGUUAGAUUAGAUAGUUGGUGGGGUAAUGGCCUACCAAGUCUACGAUCUAUAGCUGGUUUUAGAGGAUGAUCAGCAACACUGGGACUGAGACACGGCCCAGACUCCUACGGGAGGCAGCAGUGGGGAAUCUUAGACAAUGGGCGAAAGCCUGAUCUAGCCAUGCCGCGUGAGUGAUGAAGGCCUUAGGGUCGUAAAGCUCUUUCGCCAGGGAUGAUAAUGACAGUACCUGGUAAAGAAACCCCGGCUAACUCCGUGCCAGCAGCCGCGGUAAUACGGAGGGGGUUAGCGUUGUUCGGAAUUACUGGGCGUAAAGCGCACGUAGGCGGACUAUUAAGUCAGAGGUGAAAUCCCAGGGCUCAACCCUGGAACUGCCUUUGAUACUGGUAGUCUUGAGUUCGAGAGAGGUGAGUGGAAUUCCGAGUGUAGAGGUGAAAUUCGUAGAUAUUCGGAGGAACACCAGUGGCGAAGGCGGCUCACUGGCUCGAUACUGACGCUGAGGUGCGAAAGUGUGGGGAGCAAACAGGAUUAGAUACCCUGGUAGUCCACACCGUAAAACGAUGAAUGCCAGUCGUCAGCAAGUAUACUUGUUGGUGACACACCUAACGGAUUAAGCAUUCCGCCUGGGGAGUACGGUCGCAAGAUUAAAAACUCAAAGGAAUUGACGGGGGCCCGCACAAGCGUGGAGCAUGUGGUUUAAUUCCGAAGCAUCGCGCAGAACCUUU